GGAAGAUGGCGGAGUGAGAGGAACAGGCGGAGGGGCCGGGGCCGGGGCCGGCCGCGGCCCGGCGGCCGGGGCCGCGCGCGGGUGAGCAACACGCAGAUCAGAUUUGCACUAAAUUUUUCAGUCAAGAUGCUUCAAAUUUUUUGUGCUACAGAAAGGUUCACUGAAGAGAAUGUUGGUUGGUGACAAAUAAUGAUCUUCUCUCGACAUUUGAGAAGGUGGUCUUUGCUUUUUCUUGGUGACUGCUCGUAGGCUGUGAGAUACAUAUCUUUCUCUUCUAGCAAGAGAAAGCCUGUCCUUUAUUUCCAUGAAGCUGGAUGAACAAAGACCUCUGCACUUCCUGCUGUCACCAUUUCACCCAACAUUUGAGUCACCAGAUGACUUCUCCCACAGAAGCACCACACCAUUUUACCAAAACUCAAAAGCAGAGUGACAGAAAUGAGCAUUUGUUUCCCUGAAGAAGUGUCUCCUGUGCCAGUUCUUCAUUCAGCUUUCUGCAUUCUGUUUUAAAAUGAGAAAUACUUUGUAAUCAUGUACAUGGAUGGAUGUAUGGAGACACUGGUGUUCUUCACUGAUACCUCCUCCUUCAUUUUAGGAGGGAUAGAUUCUUCACUGUGUCAUAUUGGAGCUCCUGUCAGAUGAAGUGUCUGCAUGUUUUGCUACGCCAGGCUGUCUUGAUGUGGAUGGGAGGUUACAGCAGGAAAACCAGAAUACACUUUGCACUCUGAAAUGAGGAAGAAAUUUACCAAACAAUUGGGGAAACCCCAUAGCAGGUAUUUUCCAGUCCGGGACCCAGGCUUGGCUCUGUAGAUAGAUGUCUUGAUGUCAACUUGCAUAAAGCAGCUAAUGCAAAGGAACAAAUGCAGUUACCUUGUCUAUAGAGUGUAAAUGCAUCAUCCCACUCUGUGAUCAAAAUAUAUAUUUGCAUGUGUAAAUCCACAUAAGUGCUGGAUAUGAUGAGCUUUGACCAGAAGGAGAAAUUACUCUGCACAUUUCAUUUUUCAUAAAGAAAAUGAAGCUUUAAAGAUCUCCAGAGUUACAAGAUAAUGACUGGGUUUAUGUUAAAUUGUUCCCUCUCCAUGGCUCUUUAAGAAUCCUAAACAGCAAAAGGAACAAAAACAUUCUGCCAUCAAAGAAAUGGGGCAGAACUUUUUUGUUUGUUAAAGGAAUUCUCUUCUGUUGUGAUGGAAGAGACCAGAGGUGUAAAGCUCCAGUUUAUCCACUCAACUUUCUUGGCACAGUUUCAGCUUUUCUUACUGCUGAUGGAGUAAUGGAGAUGGAGGCAAGCAAAAUUGGCUUUUUGAUUCUUCUGUGGCUGAUGGAGAACUGGGAUGACCUACAUGUUUCCGUCAUAUAGAUAGAAAUAGGCCCAAUAGAAUAAACUCUUAGCCACUUAAGAGUGAUGUGUUCAGAGAAAGCAGAAAUACAUAGGAUGGGCUUUUUUUUUUUUUUUUUUUUUUUCUAUUUCCUCCUGGAUUUUGUUCCCAAACUAAGGAGCAAUCUGUUUUCAUGUUUACAUAGCAUUCUUUGUCUCCAUCAUUUGUGAUUAUUUGGGAUGUUUUCUGUCAUUCUGAGACAUGAGCUUAAAAUGUUCACAUGCUCCCUGCUGUGGUAUUGUAUAUGACAAGUAUGAUUUCUUGGCAAAAGAGCCAGAGCAGAAAUAGGAUGUGUAUUCUAUUCCACUUUAAUUGGGAGCUCUUUUUAGUGCACCUUAUUCCAAGGUCAUGAUUUAGAAAAUGUGACUUACUAGCUUAAAAUAAUAUUUUCAAAUCUGGAUCAAAUAAAGGUAUAUAGGUUCUGUUAAUAGGGUUUGAGGGGAUAAUAGCAGGGCUAGGGGACAUUUUGGGGAGGGAGGUUGUUUUAUUUUUCCUUCUAGAAAACUGCUGGAGAGAGCCAGAAAGUCUGAAAAUGGCUGGAAAAAAAGCAACAGCUAAAAUUCAUCAUAAAUCUUAGUGAUAGAUUGCAAGGACAGCAUUCUAACAUUUAAAAUGUAGUGAAAUUUAACAGGGAACAAGUUCCAUAGUAUAGUGAGGACAGAUACUGAUUUUGAUUCUGGUCUUUACUAUUAUAGAGUUCUGUUAGACCUACAUUUAGACAUGCAUUGUAACAACAAGAUUUAAUGACAGCUUUACCCAUUUUUUGUUUCCAUGAAGAAAAGAUCAGGCUCGUAAGUUAAGGAGUGGUGGGCAAGAUGCUGCAUGUCAAAAGAAAGCCAGUUGUAAUGAGCAGAGGUGCACUAACAUUGUGGGUAAGAGUCACGUUAAUUGUGGCAAAGCAACCACAAACUUGGCCUGACUUCUUUUAAGAAUGUAGGAUUUGUUUGCUGAAUACAGUCUAGAUUUUACUGGUUUAGAGGCGACUAGAAAUGCGUUUCCUUCUAGGUCCUCCUUAUAUUGAAAUCGAUGGGAUUUAAUGUAGAUGUCUGUAGAAACAGGAUCCAUCUCUUAAGUGAUGGAAAAUACUGUCAGUGUCAUAGGAUCAUAUGAGGUUGGAAGGUAUCUGGCAUAAGAAAUACUUGAUCCUAAAUCCGAGAAUUUCUUUCUUUAUUGUAUCUAUACUCAUUAUCCUUCAGAUGUUAGAGCUAGCAGCUUGGUGGCAAAAAUACACGGGGGACAAGAAUAUGUUUUUGUUUUCUGUGGGUAUGUACAAAACUGAUUAGAGAGUAGACACACCUUAAGCUCUUUGCCAUGAUCAUAGGAAUAACUCAACAUUUUGUAAUCCUGCGUUCUGACAAAGAAAUAGAACCAUUGAUUUUUCCUGACUGCUAUCCCUGACGAUGUGACAAUGUUAGUUUUUAAAUUUAAUUUUAGAACAUAUAUUUUUAGCAGGGCUAAAGAUCUGUGGUUAUCACAGAAAUAGUACUCCAAUAGUGCAUGCCCAAGAAAUCCCCACUGCCGUAUCUUUCCAGCCAGCUUCUAUGUAAGACUGCUGUUUUAGGAAAUGCUGUCUCAGCAUUCUUACUUUUUCUUGCUCCACUUUAUUUCUCUAUGUUGGUUGGAAAUCUUCCCAUGUGAAAGAUUACAAAAACAAAGGGCAUGUGCAAUAGAUCAUAUAUAUAUACAUAUAUAUAUUUUAAUACUUGUGGACAAAAUGAUGUUACAAGUUGUUUGAAAACAACAAAAUCACCAAUGUCUUCCAUUUUGAGAUGUGUAUAGUUCCAUAAGCAUUAGUGCUUUGUAGCAAACUGUAGUGCCAUGUUAGGAUCAGUGCAUGAGCCUAGUAGUAUUUUUACAAUUUCAGAGUGACAAAUUUAUUAAUAAACAGUGAUAAUGUAAUUAACAAUAGAAAGGAUACAGUAAAAAUGUCACAAACAUGGUCUAAAUAUGCAGUAUCCUCCCUUUGGCAAUGGUAAUGCUAUCUUUAGAAAUGGAAUGUAUUCAGUUAAUGGGCUUCAUAGAAUCAUAGUUGACUUCUUGUUUUUAGUAACUCUGUCCAACUGCAAUAGUAAACUAUUGUACGUAAGCAUCCAGAUUUCUCAUCUCUUUACCAGUGGUGUCUUUUUCUUUUUAGUGAAGGUGAUUUCUUCUAUGAGCAGCAUUUUCAGUUUUAUUAUUACCCAUUCUAUGAUAUACUCAGAAAAUAUGAAUACGUUAAAGAGUUAGUGUGCAUUUUGUACACAUCUCUGCAACCUUAAGAUUAUCAUUUACAAAAUCUGUUAAUUAAGUCAGAACAAUUUUUCAGAUCAGACUAUGUAAUUGUUAUAACAAGUUAAAUGUUAGCCUCAUCAUCUUAUAAAUUAAUAGUUGCAAAAUGCUAUCUGCUAAUUUUACGCAGAAGACUUAUCCAUUAUUGCAGGAAUCAGGAACUAUUUUUGCUGAAGUCCUAUUGAAUCUCUUAACACCUUUGGUGGAUCCUGCAUUUACAUGCAUCUUAAUAAAGACAUGGGAGAAUAUAAUAAGGUCAAGGGCUGUUAAAGUCAAUGUUGCAGACUGUAGCUGUUCAGUAGGCUGUUUCUAGCCUAUGGAUCAUAAAUUCCCCACUCCUGUAUUAUUGAGAAGUAAAUACCCUGUAUUUUGGAUAACUUCCAGUAUUGCUUUCCAUCUCUAAUCUCGAUUUUAAUAGUUUCUGUCUCUCCCUCUGCUUUUUGAGAAGGAAACUUUAGACCACGGGAAGUUCAAAUGAUUUAGCACUCAAUGGGCAGCUUGGACUGGUCAAAUAAGAGACUGUUAUGAUCCCUAAGAUUUGCAAUGUUCUGUGGAUGGCAUCCUCUUGAUUUCCUAGGAAAAAGUGUUUUAUUUGAUGCCAGUGUUUCUUUUCACCCAUUUCUCUUUUAUAAGAACAAAUUCUCUUGUCAGCUUAGAGAGGAUACUGCAUCUUUUCUUUCCUGAGACCUGCCUGUAAAUGGCCGUUAGGGGGAGGGAGGGAAUGAGUAGCUUGGUUUUGUAAUUUUAAUAUAAGUAUAAAGUAAUUAAGCAGCAUAUACUUGUGUGCAAAACCAGUAAUACUUGCAGAGUUAAUGUAUGUAACAAAAAACAAAAAAAAAUCUUCUGCAUCUACUAUAUCCCCAAGAAAAUUGGGCAGGUGGGCCAUUUACAGCAGAGCUCUGGGGGACCUGUCAUUGGAGUUAGGUUCAGUUCUGAACAAAAGUAGCUGUGUAGCUGUACCAUUGAAUAAAGUAGUUUAGUGCUUGGGAGAAUCAUUUGAAAAAUACCUCUGAAACUGGAAUGCAAAAUAGCACAGUAUGUAGGGGGAAGAAUCCCUGAUGCAAACAAAGCCAUAAGAUGAUUUAAUAAGAAAAAAUAGAACUUUAGUAGCAAUAACUGUUUUGCAUGUGAUAGUAAAUAACUUGCAUUAGCAAGAUUGUACAGUAGAAUAAGUGGGUAAUAACCAAAUAAGUUUGUGGGGUUCUGUGCUGCAGGGAGUUGCACGAUAAGUAUCUUCCUAAGAUGAUGGGUGAAUUCCUCUUAAUGUUCCUCUCAUUGGAGAGAACUUGGCACUUGAAUACUUUGUUAAUGAACCUGGUAUGAAAACCACUGAUUAGUUUUGUCACAUGUCUGAAUCAAUGUGUGCUGAGAAGGGCAGGCAGUUCUUUCUGAAACUAUGGGUGAAGUCCCCCCCUCCAUUUUUUUUUUAGUAGUCUAGUACUUGCUCUGUUUCUCUGAGGUAAAACUGAACCUUUCCAAGUACUGUACUGUGAAGAGAACCUGACACUCAAACAUUUAUACUUCCCAAACAAAAUUACACGAUUCUAAAAAUAUUACUUUACAGUGAAAAUAAUUUUGGACUUGCUAAAUACUGUUUUAGACCAUGGUUGAUUUCUGUUGCUGUCUGAAGUUUUGGAGAGGGAAGUGCUGUGAAGCCUCUACUAACACAAGGGGAUAUUGAUCUACAGCUGUAGCCUCUGUUUAAAAAAAAAAAAAAAAAAAGAAAAGAAAAAAAAUGUUUUGACACUUUGUUUCCAGUGCAGAUACCUAGUCUGUAGAGACAGUAGGGGCCAGUACAUAAUAUUCUUGUAAACAGAACUACUACAUCAGAGAUGUAGCUCUAUCAGUUUGGAUUUCUUUUAGAAAGGUGAAAUAAUUUGAACCAUAACUUAUAGCUGGAGGGAGGCUACCAAUAGUUCAAAAGUACUUAAGAGAAAUCCUUUGGCUCUUCAUAAGUUGAUAAUGAGACUGUGAGAGCUGUGAGCAUUUUUGCAGUCUAAAGUAACCAAGAUAAACAUGAGGAUGACUAAAUUAGGUGUUAACUAAUAUGUAAUAUGCAUAUGAAAAACUAAUUGAUCUGGAAGGUUGUAAACAGCUUAAAUUCCAGCUACUGGAUUAUUGAUAAAACUGGAAGAUGGCCAUAGGAAACCUUAAUUUGAUUAUUAGCUAGUAUUAGAUAGGUUACAAAUUUAUUCUGGUCAGUGGUUAUCAAGUACAUUUGCGUAAUAAUGAAAACAUAGUCACGUUCACAUUUCUGAAGUAUAAAUUUUGUGACUGAAUAGAAUUUUUCAAGGCUUUAUUCAUCUAGAGAAAAGAGGAAAUAAAUAAGACUGCAGUAGCUAGGCAAGUUGUCCAUGUAUUCAUCCCAGUUCAGACUUUAUAAUGAUCUAUACUCCACGGCGAUUAGAAAUUAUUCUUCAUAGCAGCAACAGAAAUCCCAUUGCCUUACAGCUGCUAAACUCUGGUGUGACUUGGGUCCCAAGCCCUUGAUUCCACUGCUUCUAAAACUAAGCAGAAGUGUCAGAUGCUACCAUAUUUCACUGUAGGGUAUCAAAUAUAUACUACCCACUAAAGACAUGACUCCUUUAGCAGUACUAAACUUAGAUGGUGCAUGUAUAUACUGUUUCCUUACCCAGUGGUGCUGCUGCAGAAGGUCUAGCCAGUAGUUAUGUUGGGAAUUGCAACUUCUUCUGAAGAUAAUUGUUAAUUCAGGACUCAAAACAAAAGAGAGUCUUGCAAAGACUCCUAAAUAUUGAGAGAAGAAAUUGUAUCAAGCUUCAGGACACUAACACUUUACACAAGGAGUACAUUGACAAGAGCUAGCAGUGUAUUUCUGGGCAGAGAAUAAUAUAGAACAGAACAGUUUUUGAUGAACCACCAGUCUUUGGAGUAUCUGCUUCCCCACUUCCCUAAGAAACUGUCUGGUCUUCCUUCAAAACUUAAGAAUCCUACUUGCUCUUCAGGUACAGAGCUGCAUAAUGGCAGUUCAGGUUAGAUACCUUUGGAUUUCUUGUAAUGAAUGAUCCAGCAUAUUGCCCCUACAGCACUUUGACUAGCACACAAAAGCCAGCAAUGGAACCAGGGUGUCUCAUUUAUUAGUGCAGAACACUAACCACGGAUUUCUGAACUCUUUCGGUCUGCUCUGCACUUUAUACUGAGCAAUAGUUUCAGAGAAAGAGUGUUUCUGUCACUGAGCCUAUGUACCAGUUUAUAAUACAGGGAUUCCCUAAGUUUGCAACAUCUACUGUUAAAGGUAAAAGGUAACUUACUGUCUAGUGUGUCCUGUGUAAAUCCUGGUUGCUUCUCUUCCUCUUCCCUUCCAAAUAAGCGUGUUUGCAAGUCCCACAAAAGAAGGCUAAUUUGUGAUGCCUCAGAAGGAAGAACUGCAUGGAGAAAUUGAAGGAAAGUAGCACAGGCCCACAAACCAAAUCUUAGAGCUAGUAUUCUAAUUAUGCAUGAUUCAAAAUGUCUAGUGUAAUGUAGUUAUUACCAGUAAAUUGAGAUAUGCAUUUAUACAUAAUGAAGCAAUAGGAAUUAAUAUACCAAUAGCUUGAACUUCCUGCUUUGAUUCUCAAAUUUUGUUUUUAGAGAAUGCUCUGCCCCUGUAGAGAAAGGGGCAGAAUGUACAGAUAGGGGCAGAAGCAUGGCACCAAAACAGCAAAUCAGAAACCAGGAUCAGCAGAACUUGCCUUCAUAACCUCUUGUCUGGUUCACAUUAGUGCCCUGGGCAUGUAAAAAGCAGGGCAUGAACUAAGCAUGUUUAGAGGUGAAAUGAGGUUUCUCACGUGCUGCAGCUGUAGCAAGGAAAAGGGUGCAGAGUUUCUCACAAGGUGCAGGGGGUAGCAACUUGUGGAAAAAGAAAUAACAAAAAAAAACACACAGUAACAGAAACAAUAGACUCAGAUUGAGUGGUUAUUUGCCAGACAGUAGGUAAAAGGCUUGGGUGUGGUGACAGAAAUUAUUUGGAGAAGACUGAAAUCAAUAAGCACAGUACAUAUAUUUCAGGUGUUGAAUAGCUUUUUAAUAGACAGUAUUUUCAGGUAACUCUCUAGCUACAUAGGCAGCUGUACUGAAGCAUACUGGUAUCAGCCAGCAAUAAUGGCAUCUGCAGGAAUGAACCUGAAAAUACUGGUUAUCUUGUAUAUUUUUUAAGUUCUUUUUGUCAAAGAGAUUUUUAAAAACAGAAAAUGAGAUUUGAUCACUGAAGGUCUUUAUCUUCUGCAACACAGGUUGCAAUAUAGUAUUUUUUUCUUUAUUUCACUUAUUAAAUAAAAGGAAGAUUGGGUGCCAUCUUUCUGUAAACUUUUAGUGUGUUCUCUGUAUUAUUUCCCAAGUCUUUUAGUGGGUGAUGCAGUGAAUUUCUGCUGGCAGUAUGAAAAUAACAUAGAACCUAUGGCAUAGCCUAUAUCACUAAUACUUUUCCCAGUCUGAAGUAUUCAAACAAGUAGAACACUAGUUUGUUUACUGCAGGAGUCCAUACUUACAGCUUAGCUUAAUUUUAUAGGUGGGCUUAACUUGUGCGAACAUUCCUUCAUAUACUUGAGGCUCAGCUCUCUUUCUUAAAUAGAAAGAGUAAGGGUCUUCGAGAAAGAAACUGUGUCAAGUUAACUCCCGUUCACACUUCUUAGCCAACCAUCCACAAAGCACCAUGUUUUGAGUUUAGAAUGGGGACCAUGUUUUCUUCAUGAAUGCUCUUUUUAUUGAUACACAAAAAUUGCCAAAUGAAGAUAGGAAUAUGGCAAGAUAACUAUUUUGUGGUAUCAGAAACUAGAUUAAAUGAAAUCCUUUGAGCCAACUUCAAGCAAAAAGGGAAUUUGUAAAACAAGUUUAGCCCAGUGGUUAACCAUGUCCAUCCAAAACCUACUUGAUUCUAUUCUAUAGAAUGCUUCACAUGGUCUUUAAUUCAAUAUAUUCUCUUUCAUGUGAAGAGUAAGUAGUUGUAGGGGUACUUUAGGACUUCAGUGAAGCUAUCCUCCUUUUGAAAAGUAUGAUGUAGCAGCAGAGGAGAGUAUUAGACAGUUGUAGGAGAUUCUUAAGAGUUAUGUUAAUACUUAAAAAACAGGUUAGAGAACACUUCUAAUACAGGGCUUCUGAUGGCAUGCUCACAUGGGUUAUUGGAGGAAAUUAUUGGUAUCACUAUGAACUAUGAUGUACUCUCCCAUUGCACACACAUUUUACAUGGCAACAGUAAAAGAAUGUCUCCCUGUGAAUUCUGAAGUUUUUCCAAAAGGCAGCUUGCUUUUAUAUCUAUGCAUCUUUGGGGAUUUCAAGAUAAGAUUUUAUUCUUUUGACACUGUAAAGAGGAACUGUUUAAAAAUGAACUUGGAAACUCUGCACCUGUAUACAAUUUUUUUUUAGCAAUAAAGCAGCACAGGCUGAGAAUGCACUAAAAA